rnacentral:rRNA from 1 species
CGGUAUAAUGGCGAACGGGUGAGUAACACGUGAGUAACCUGCCCUUGACUCUGGGAUAAGCGUUGGAAACGACGUCUAAUACCGGAUACGACCAGCCCUGGCAUCGGGUGUUGGUGGAAAGAACUUUGGUCAAAGGAUGGACUCGCGGCCUAUCCAGGUAGUUGGUGAGGUAAUGGCUCACCAAGCCUACGGACGGGUAGCCGGCCUGAGAGGGUGACCGGCCACACUGGGACUGAGACACGGSCCCAGACUCCUACGGGGAGGCAGCAGUGGGGAAUAUUGCACAAUGGGCGAAAGCCUGAUGCAGCAACGCCGCGUGAGGGACGACGGCCUUCCGGGUUGUAAACCUCUUUUAGCAGGGAAGAAGCGAAAGUGACGGUACCUGCAGAAAAAGCACCGGCUAACUACGUGCCAGCAGCCGCGGUAAUACGUAGGGUGCAAGCGUUGUCCGGAAUUAUUGGGCGUAAAGAGCUCGUAGGCGGUUUGUCGCGUCUGCUGUGAAAACCCGAGGCUCAACCUCGGGCCUGCAGUGGGUACGGGCAGACUAGAGUGCGGUAGGGGAGAUUGGAAUUCCUGGUGUAGCGGUGGAAUGCGCAGAUAUCAGGAGGAACACCGAUGGCGAAGGCAGAUCUCUGGGCCGUUACUGACGCUGAGGAGCGAAAGGGUGGGGAGCAAACAGGCUUAGAUACCCUGGUAGUCCACCCCGUAAACGUUGGGAACUAGAUGUGGGGACCAUUCCACGGUCUCCGUGUCGCAGCUAACGCAUUAAGUUCCCCGCCUGGGGAGUACGGCCGCAAGGCUAAAACUCAAAGGAAUUGACGGGGGCCCGCACAAGCGGCGGAGCAUGCGGAUUAAUUCGAUGCAACGCGAAGAACCUUACCAAGGCUUGACAUAUACCGGAAACGGCGAGAGAUCGUCGCCCCGCAAGGUCGGUAUACAGGUGGUUGCAUGGUUGUCGUCAGCUCGUGUCGUGAGAUGGUUGGGUUAAGUCCCGCAACGAGCGCAACCCUCGUUCUAUGUUGCCAGCACGUAAUGGUGGGAACUCAUGGGAUACUGCCGGGGUCAACUCGGAGGAAGGUGGGGACGACGUCAAAUCAUCAUGCCCCUUAUGUCUUGGGCUUCACGCAUGCUACAAUGGCCAGUACAAAGGGCUGCAAUACCGUAAGGUGGAGCGAAUCCCAAAAAGCUGGUCCCAGUUCGGAUUGAGGUCUGCAACUCGACCUCAUGAAGUCGGAGUCGCUAGUAAUCGCAGAUCAGCAACGCUGCGGUGAAUACGUUCCCGGGCCUUGUACACACCGCCCGUCAAGUCAUGAAAGUCGGUAACACCCUGAGUUCGGUCGCGUAUCCUUAAGU